rnacentral:lncRNA from 1 species
UGCCUGGAGGUGAUGGCUUUUUACUGACAAGGAACAGCAGCAGGCUUGUGAGGCUCCAAGUGAAGGGAGCGACUUUUGGGAAGACUGGAGUCUGCAGCUGUAGGAGUAUGCAGAUCAGCUCUGUCCCAUCUUGCCAGGGUUGGGGGGAUCCUCAUCCCCUUCUGGGGUGUCAGGGGGUACAGCAGCCUCCAGAAUCAGUUCCAGGGCACCGUCACCAGACACUCGGCGUACCUCCUCUCCUCUGGCUGCUAGGAUCUCUUCAAUAUUCCUGCAAGACAGUAAGAGCAGCAUCAGCCUUACUCUGGGCUCCCUCAAGGGCAUCCCAUGGUCAUCUUGGGCCUGGAACACUUGUCCCAGCAUCCAAGUGACACCAGUACCUUGCAGGCACCUAAUGGCACCUUCACCAAAUGUAUCUGUUAACAAGUCCUCAGAAGCCAUCUCUCUCGUACAGUGUACCACCAAGGGCCGUGGCCCUGCCUCUCACCAGGUAACACCCAUCCCUGCAUUUCAGUCUUGUCCCUACAUAUCAGAGCUGAGAUUUCUCUGCAGUCCAGGUCUAAGAGGCGAACCCUAGAGACCCAAGGCCUGCACACUUAUCACAGGCUAUCUCCUCUGUGGCUCUGCCCUUACUCCUGCCACUGAUCCCUCCUCAUAGAACAUUAAGAAGGCAUCAGGCACAGCCUCCAAACUGACUCCUGGCCCUCCCCACUGCUCUCCCAAAAGUGGGAACACCACUGAAGGCUGCCCCAGUCCAUAAUCUGACACAUACCCUUCCAUCUGCCCUGAGUUGGCAGAGGACAAAAAGCCUCCACUAGAGAUUGAUAAGGCCCCUGGCGAGAUCAGAGGUCAGGCAGUGACAGAGGUAGAGCCAUAGAACUAGUUUGCCAUAUUUGGGGCCAUUCAUGGUUCAUCUGAAGUUCAAAUUCAACUGCUUCCAGGUCCACGUGGAAGCUGGGCUGUCCAGGUAGAGAGAUCCAGGCAAUGGAUCCAGGCUCACACAGGGCCACAAUCUUACUGUCUCCUACCCCUCCCAGCUGGCCUCACCUCUUCCCCUUCAGGUCAGAGAACCAGCUUAGGUUGUCUGCGAUGAUGUGGUGGUUCUGGCAACCAGGGCAAGUCACGAUGACCACGCCCUGGUGAUAGGCCAACUUUGAGAUGCGCUUGGAUGACCGAGUCCCACAGACCUAGCUGGGUUAGAGAGGUGGUCAGGCAAGGCAUACACAGGAAAGUCUCUCCCAAGGUCUAACUCCAUCCCGAGGGACAGCCUCAACCCUUUCUCUGAUGAUCCCACCUAGGCGACGGCGUCAUUUCUAGACGCCUGUCUCCUGAUAACCCAACCUAGAAGGCCCUGUGCCUCAUUCCCACCCAGCCAUUUGUAAAGACUCCGCCUCCUCCCUGGUCCGAAGGAUACUUCCACGUUUCUGCCAGGACCCUACACCAACAGGAAACCAGCCAGCACCAGGUGUUGCCGACAGCGCCCACCUUGCAGGUGUAGACGAGUUGAUAGUGGUCCGCUUCCACGCGCCCCAGCGCCGCCGCACGCCCUGAUCCCGGCGCGGAGCUCGAGCUCCGCCAGCCCGAGGCCCAGCCCCAGGCCCAGCCCCGAAGUCUCUCCGCGGUCUUUAGGCGAGCCCCCAAAUCCCAAAGCCGCCGCGGUCCGGAAUCCCGGGUCCGCACACUACGAAGUAGUGUCGGCAUGCGGCUCAGCGCUGUCCGCAACAUCCCGCCUGCGAAUCCUUAGCCACCUUUUCUUGCACCGCCCCGUGAAGCUGCGUCGACCAUUUUGGUAACGGGCGCAGCGGCCGGAAGCGGCCCUCUUCGGCUUCCAUCCGCCACCGGUGCACUGCUUUCUGUUGCCCCCUGGUGUCGCCCCGCUUGCAUAUCCAACCAACAGGCUCAGCUCGAUGCUCAGCCUCGGCGCGGUUCGCUAGGAGCCCUCGGUGUCGGUGUUGUCGCUGCCUGUCGUAUUCCCGCGAUCCCCUUCUCCCUGCCGCCAGCUGUUCUGCAUCUUGCGGAGCGCCCGCUUCCUGUGGGGCCCGCAGUGUGAGCAGGUAGGCACAGGUGUCCCACCCGCCAGCCGUCCUGCCCG